AGGACGAACGCUGGCGGCGUGCUUAACACAUGCAAGUCGAGCGGAAAGGCCCUUCGGGGUACUCGAGCGGCGAACGGGUGAGUAACACGUGGGCAACCUGCCCCUAGCUCUGGGAUAACUCCGGGAAACCGGUGCUAAUACCGGAUACGACCUCAUUGGGCAUUCUUUGAGGUGGAAAGAUUUAUUGGCUAGGGAUGGGCCCGCGGCCUAUCAGCUUGUUGGUGGGUAACGGCCUACCAAGGCGACGACGGGUAG
rnacentral:rRNA from 1 species